AUGUGUUCAAUAGGGUUGAUUUGAGAACAUAUGUAUGGGCAUAUUUUGUUUCUAACAAUUUAUUGUUUAUAAAUGUGACACAUAUGUUCUCAGGUCGCCCCUGUAGACUAUUC
rfam:Solanum tuberosum cultivar DM 1-3 516 R44 scf00217_3, whole genome shotgun sequence.